rnacentral:rRNA from 1 species
CAGCAGCCACGGGAAUACGAAGGGGGCUAGCGUUGUUCGGAUUUACUGGGCGUAAAGGGCGCGUAGGCGGACUGAUAAGUCAGGGGUGAAAUCCCAAGGCUCAACCUUGGAACUGCCUUUGAUACUGUUUGUCUUGAGUUCGAGAGAGGUAAGUGGAACUGCGAGUGUAGAGGUGAAAUUCGUAGAUAUUCGCAAGAACACCAGUGGCGAAGGCGGCUUACUGGCUCGAAACUGACGCUGAGGCGCGAAAGCGUGGGGAGCAAACAGGAUUAGAUACCCCCGUAGUCCCUGUCUCUUAUAC